GUACACUCCUGCGGGAGGCAGCAGUGGGGAAUAUUGCACAAUGGGCGCAAGCCUGAUGCAGCCAUGCCGCGUGUAUGAAGAAGGCCUUCGGGUUGUAAAGUACUUUCAGCGGGGAGGAAGGCAAUACGGUUAAUAACCGUGUUGAUUGACGUUACCCGCAGAAGAAGCACCGGCUAACUCCGUGCCAGCAGCCGCGGUAAUACGGAGGGUGCAAGCGUUAAUCGGAAUUACUGGGCGUAAAGCGCACGCAGGCGGUCUGUCAAGUCGGAUGUGAAAUCCCCGGGCUCAACCUGGGAACUGCAUUCGAAACUGGCAGGCUUGAGUCUUGUAGAGGGGGGUAGAAUUCCAGGUGUAGCGGUGAAAUGCGUAGAGAUCUGGAGGAAUACCGGUGGCGAAGGCGGCCCCCUGGACAAAGACUGACGCUCAGGUGCGAAAGCGUGGGGAGCAAACAGGAUUAGAUACCCCAGUAGUCCCA
rnacentral:rRNA from 1 species